CGGGGCGUGGCGCAGUCUGGUAGCGCACCUCGUUCGGGACGAGGGGGUCGGAGGUUCGAAUCCUCUCGCCCCGACCA
rnacentral:tRNA from 1 species